rnacentral:rRNA from 1 species
GUCGAACGAACUCUGGUAUUGAUUGGUGCUUGCAUCAUGAUUUACAUUUGAGUGAGUGGCGAACUGGUGAGUAACACGUGGGAAACCUGCCCAGAAGCGGGGGAUAACACCUGGAAACAGAUGCUAAUACCGCAUAACAACUUGGACCGCAUGGUCCGAGUUUGAAAGAUGGCUUCGGCUAUCACUUUUGGAUGGUCCCGCGGCGUAUUAGCUAGAUGGUGGGGUAACGGCUCACCAUGGCAAUGAUACGUAGCCGACCUGAGAGGGUAAUCGGCCACAUUGGGACUGAGACACGGCCCAAACUCCUACGGGAGGCAGCAGUAGGGAAUCUUCCACAAUGGACGAAAGUCUGAUGGAGCAACGCCGCGUGAGUGAAGAAGGGUUUCGGCUCGUAAAACUCUGUUGUUAAAGAAGAACAUAUCUGAGAGUAACUGUUCAGGUAUUGACGGUAUUUAACCAGAAAGCCACGGCUAACUACGUGCCAGCAGCCGCGGUAAUACGUAGGUGGCAAGCGUUGUCCGGAUUUAUUGGGCGUAAAGCGAGCGCAGGCGGUUUUUUAAGUCUGAUGUGAAAGCCUUCGGCUCAACCGAAGAAGUGCAUCGGAAACUGGGAAACUUGAGUGCAGAAGAGGACAGUGGAACUCCAUGUGUAGCGGUGAAAUGCGUAGAUAUAUGGAAGAACACCAGUGGCGAAGGCGGCUGUCUGGUCUGUAACUGACGCUGAGGCUCGAAAGUAUGGGUAGCAAACAGGAUUAGAUACCCUGGUAGUCCAUACCGUAAACGAUGAAUGCUAAGUGUUGGAGGGUUUCCGCCCUUCAGUGCUGCAGCUAACGCAUUAAGCAUUCCGCCUGGGGAGUACGGCCGCAAGGCUGAAACUCAAAGGAAUUGACGGGGGCCCGCACAAGCGGUGGAGCAUGUGGUUUAAUUCGAAGCUACGCGAAGAACCUUACCAGGUCUUGACAUACUAUGCAAAUCUAAGAGAUUAGACGUUCCCUUCGGGGACAUGGAUACAGGUGGUGCAUGGUUGUCGUCAGCUCGUGUCGUGAGAUGUUGGGUUAAGUCCCGCAACGAGCGCAACCCUUAUUAUCAGUUGCCAGCAUUAAGUUGGGCACUCUGGUGAGACUGCCGGUGACAAACCGGAGGAAGGUGGGGAUGACGUCAAAUCAUCAUGCCCCUUAUGACCUGGGCUACACACGUGCUACAAUGGAUGGUACAACGAGUUGCGAACUCGCGAGAGUAAGCUAAUCUCUUAAAGCCAUUCUCAGUUCGGAUUGUAGGCUGCAACUCGCCUACAUGAAGUCGGAAUCGCUAGUAAUCGCGGAUCAGCAUGCCGCGGUGAAUACGUUCCCGGGCCUUGUACACACCGCCCGUCACACCAUGAGAGUUUGUAACACCCAAAGUCGGUGGGGUAACCUUUUAGGAACCAGCCGCCUAAGGUG